rnacentral:lncRNA from 1 species
AAAAGCAUGACCAUGUAUAGAUGUGUACUGAUAUCUUUGUGCACAUUUGUGAUUAUAUAGGUAGGUUAGAUUGCAAGAAUUGUAUCUGCUUCCUGGAGACAUCCAUAGGUGUUAACAUAGACUGAGAAGAUUCCAUUUAUUGACUGAAAGCCUACAACUCUGGCCAGACAAGGAAAGUGAUAUUUGACUCUUUUGUUUUCCUUUCCUUUCUCCUACCCCAAAUAAAGGAACCCACUGAUGUGAAAGAAGAGGAUAUAAGGUAGUUUGGAAAUUUCAUUCGGAUAUGAGAUUGACAGCUAAAACCAAAGGGUAUUCAAUGUGAUAAGGAGACGUCGACAAAAUGUAGUAGAACCUGCCAACGCAGUCAUUAAGGGCGAGGGAAGGAUAAUUUAGCAGCAUAUAGUUGAAUUCGGUUAUUGAAAAUAUAAAACGAGGUCAUAUUUAUACCUUGCUGGAAAUGAGCACUCGAAGUAUGUUACAAAUAGAAUUACUGGAGUAGAGUGCAUGAACAUUUAAAAUUUUUAAUAGCUACUUCCUAUUUACUUGCAAAAAUGUUGUAUCAUUAUCCUCUGCUAAGGGCUUGUAAAAGUACCCAGUUUCCAACACCAGUGUGUAUAUUAAAUGUUUCGUCCGAGUCUCACAUUCUGUUAUCAUUUAAUAAUGCUGCUAAAGCAACUAUGUAGCUCUUGCAUUUUUAAUUUUAUUUGACUUUGUAUGUCUGCUUCUGUAUGUCAGCUCUUUUAUACUUUGCCCCUUUUAAUAGAAAUCCAUUUCUGAGAUCCUGAUAAUUUCAUAUUCACAUUUUCCCUUAUGCAAGUAUACUGCCUCAGUGGCUCAUAAAGUGAAAUUCUUGGUAGGCUAAUACAGUAUCUGCCUUCAUUUCAGUACAAGGAAGUGGAUUUUUUAUUUUAUUUUGUUUGUUUCGGUUUGAUUUUUAGUGCUUUAUAGUUCACAAAUCGAAAUUAUCUAUUUUUAGAAGGGAAAAAAUAUCUGUAGAUUAAAACUCAACUUACCGAGUUAUUUAACUUCUUGAACUUAUUUAACAAUUCGAUUGUUGUUUCCCAAAUUCCACUUAAUUCAUCUGGAAAAUGAAAAUACAUCUCUACCUUCAACCCUGAUAUUAACUAGUGUAAGUUAUGCACUGUCUGUAUACACUUUAUUUGAUCAGUGCCAGUGUUGCCUUGAUUGUUAAGUAUAUUGAAAAAGCUUCCUAAGUUAGCAUUAAAUAAGUCUCAUUUAAAAAAUGCAGAAUCAAUUAUAGUUGAAGAUGCCACGCCAGCAGCUUUCAGUAUUAUUACCUAAGAUAAUACACUAAUGAAGCAGGCAUAACAUCGUGCACCUUAAUACAUUCACAGUAUUGGAAUCCAGUGCAAUAAUGGGCAUCUCCAAGGCCCCUACAUUCAGUUUGGAGUGUAUUCCCGAGGUUUCUGUUCCAGUAUUGUUUUGUUUUUGCUGCAGGAUAGGAGAGUGAAAUGAGGUGUAGAUUCCCAUUCAUGCUUUGCUUAGGUAAAGAUUAAAAUUUGUUUUUAUUGCCUGCAGACACACUAAAUUCAGAGAGACCCAGAAAUGUGCACAGAUGACAGGUUGGUCUGGGAUACGUGAAAGCUACUAUUAUAUCAUAAAACGUAUAAACCAUACAUUAUCACAGUAUCCAGCACUGUUUUGAAAAUUACCUAAGGUUAUGCCAAAUGUCAAUGCUUUAAUUCAACAGCAAUAUCGUUGUGAGAAUGUGUUCACAGGCUAAAAAUAUUUCUUGACUUUGUAUCACACAUUUAUUAAAUCUAACCUGUAAAAAUUACCAAAUAAUACCUCUUUUUUUAUGUUUCGAUCGAUUUUAAUAAUCAGUUUUAAAAUUUAUUUUUAAGUGGUUUAUUUCACUUAUGUAUUACAUAUUUAAGAAUGUAUUUAUACUUCUACAAUUGCUCUUGGUAAAGAGUUUAUUUUUCAUACUUUCCAACUUUAAAGUACUUUAAUACAAUAGCCUCACUCCAGUUCCCUGGAUCUGCAGGCGUUUAGCAGCCUAAUACAUUGGAAGUAGAUUUUCAAAAUGAUGAAUGGAUCAUUAGUUGCAUAGCUUCCAUUAUAAGUGAUAGAUGAGCAAACUAACCUUGGGUUUUUGUACGUUAGAAUUUUCUUUUAAUAUUACUUUUGUGUAGAAUUGCAUUUAAAAGCAAUUCUCUCAUAAAUGAAGGAAUUCUGGAUCUCUUUCUUUUUAAUUUGGAGCCACAAAACACAUAAAGCACUGUAUUAGACCUACUUAUAUUUCUAUACAAUAUUCCUUUGAAGACAUAAGAGGUUAGAGAAAAAUGUUUGGCAUCAAGAGCUUCCUGUAAAUAACCAGGGCAGGUGUCUAGCUUAGAUUUCUUGCCCUUAUUACAAUGGAGAAUGGAGGAGUCUUCACUCUAUGACUUAAUAGCUAAUGACCUUGCACAGGUCACGGCCUGUCCUUGGGACUGCAGACUUCAGAUUUCUGAACAGAAGUGAAAUAAAUUAUCUCUAGGAUCUUGUGUAGGUGUAAAAGACUGUCAAUGUAGGAGAAGCAGAAAAUCCCUUAGGAAUGUAACAUACCAGUCCUGAUCAGUCACUUAAAUUUUAGCUCGAGUUCAAUGGAACCUGCUGCAGUGCAGAGAACCUGAUGGUUAAAAAUGAGAAUGAAAGCACCAUUAAGCAAUAAAGAAGUAACUCAAAAAAGACUACCUGGCAUCCUAGAAGACCAACCCUGCUUUUCAGUCAUUAACCAGAGAUUGCUUGAACACAUUUUUUAGUAUAUUGAUUUCAGAUCAAGCACUCGCAUUUUGUGACUGCUUUCUCCUUCUAAGUCCCUUCAGAGAUAAUCCAUCCUCGUAUCCACAGCACUCAGCAUAAGGCCAGGGACAUAACAUGCAGGAAACUAGAACAAGUAAUCACACGGCAUCCCUUCUCAUAUCCUUUCCUUCUGUGCCCAAAAGAACAUGCACAUUCAGGAAAGGCAUUUAUAUUUAGUCCAAGAAGCAAUUCCAGAAUAUUCAGUGCAGUUGUCUUCAACAGAUCAGAGAUUAACCUGCUAAAUUUAUAAUUUUUAAUACUGAAGUUCUGGCUAAUAUUAUGACAGCUUAUAGCAAUUCUGAUUAACAUUGGUAAUUUUCCAUGUCAAUGCCACAUGAAGUUGAAACUGUACUUUGAGGCAUUCGUUGUGUAUUUUUAUCCAAUUGUUUUCUAUGUGCCCAUCUAACAACUCUCGGUAUCCUGAAUCCAUUCCCUUUGGUCUCCAAUCUAGUUUAUUAUAAGGUUUAUAUAUAUAGCUUUGAAAAUUGCAAGAAAAUCCCCCUAGACCUUUAAUUUUGGAAAUUUGACUUUAUGAGUUGGCCUGGAGACCUUAUUCUAGAAAAAAUAACUGGCCCACAUGCCAAAUUAUGCUACAUCAUCAUCACAUAGAGUCCUGAGCUAACCAGUUUGGAACAGAUGUUUACAGCUCUAGAUGGCAAAUGGAUAUUUUUUUUUAAAUAGUAAAUCAUGAUUAACUUUAUCUUGAAUUAGAUAUAACUUACAUCAGGGUUAUCUUGAUUAUAAGAACAGAAUUAUAAUACAUGAAGUACGCUUUAAAAGCAUAUGCAAUUUCACCAUACCAACAUAAAUAUUUUUACUUUUUAAUUUUUUUUCCUAUCAGUUUAUAUGCAAGCAUAUAAACUUAAAUGUAUAAAUGUUGACUCUUCUCCUUAACAUUAUAUUACUAACAUUACAAAAUUGUCAGGUUGCUAUGCAUUCCUUACACACACGAUUUCAAUGGCUAAACUGAUAUUUUAAAUUUGAUGUACUAAAAGACUCUUAAUGAUACAGGGAUGGUCAUAUAGUUAAUGCUAUACCUAUGUUUAUGCAUAUAAGUUUAAUAUUUUUAAUUUUGAAAAUUUCUUGCAAGUGAGAUUAUUAGGUAAACAAAGUAUAAACCCUUAAUGUCAAUGAGCUGAUAUUUCUUGGAAGGCAAAGAUUUUGAAAACAAUUCCCUUUUAAUUUUUUCCCAUAAACUAGACAUAUGGUUCAAUAAGAAAAAUAUUUAGUGAAAAUUAUAUAAUUCAGCAUCUGACUAACUGUUUUGGUUUUGCUAUUUAUUUUAUUUUUUUAUAAUAGUUAGAAAUCUAUUUUUUUGGACAAUUUAAUGGAUAUUCUGUUGACUACUACCUAUUGUGGGUGGCUUUAGCAACUUAGGUUUUUAAAUUUUGUAAGAAACUUGUUGCCAUAGUAAUCACGAAAUCAAAGACACUAGAAUAAAAUGAAUAAAAUAUAGGACCCAUUUUCAAAAGUCAGUGCUUAAAUUGUUUCUCCAAAUUCACAUGUCCCUCUGUUUUAGAUGGUAGGGUUUGUUACAAGAUAAUUUAUUUUAUAAGAAAAUAUAUAUUUAGAAAUUAACGUUACUAUUAACUGAGGUAUUUGGAUAUAUUUUUUUUUUUAAAAAAAGAAACAAUUUUAGGGUUUCGUGGGUGGCUCAGUGGUUGAGCAUCUGCCUUUGGCUCAGGGUGUGAUCCCGGGGUCCUGGGAUCGAGUCCCAUGUCAGGCUCCCUGCAGGGAGCCCACUUUUCCCACUGCCUGUGUCUCUGCCUCUGUGACUCCAAUGAAUAAAUAAAUAAAAUCUUAAAAAAAAAAAAAAAACAAUUCUAAAUUCAUUAAUGAGUUACCAUGAACAUAAAGACCUUGGAGAUCUUCAAGAAAACUGAACACCAGGGACUAAGCAAGUACCAAUGUCAGCAAUCUCACUGAGUGUUUCUACAGAAUCUAAGAUCUCGAGCCACAGCUUUGACACUAUGUACAGAUUGCAGAAGACAGGAACUAGAACAGGACGCCUCCAAGGGAUGGAGACUAAUAAGAAAUUACUAACAGGUCGGAACUUAUUCACUAAAAUAAAUAAGGAAGGGCAAGAAAUGAAACAUUCCUUUCCCAGCCUUCUUAAACUGCCUCUUCUAAAGAUGUUGACAACUUGAAAUAUUAUCAGUAUUUGUUUUGAAACAGCAUCAAGGGGAAAAGAAGAACUACAUGUACCAUCUGAAAUUUUAAUCCUCCAAGGGUCCAAAUUCACUUUAUAAGCCGUGUUCCAAAACUAAUUUAUUUGAAAUAAUUUGGGUAGGCAAAAGCAAACACCGUAUGAACUCACCCUUAACCUAAGACAUGAAGAAUGCCUAUAAACAAAAUCCAAAAGAGAAUUAGUCCCUCACUAUAAUAUGAAACAAAUCAACAAAAGAAUAAAAAACACCUUCACACACACGCAGACACACAAUACACUCACACACACACACACACACACACGGGAGCCAUGCAUAAAAACUAAUAUAAACAAGAGCAAGAAACAGACAUGCAAAGAUUGCAGUUACUAUAAUUCUCAGAAAAAAAUUAAUAAAAGCAAAUAUAACAUUUUUCUUAAAGAAAUAAAAGAAUGUUGAAAAAGGAAAAAAGAACCAAGUGAAAUUUCUACAUUCUUUAAAUUAUAAUUAGAUUUUUUUCUGAAUGGAUAGGUCAAGUGGUAGUAGGUUAGAUAUAAAACUGAUGAAAGAAUCAGUGAACUGGAAAAAUAACCCCCCCAAAAAAUAUUUAUUAUUUUUGCUCAGACGUAUAUAGAGGGACUACAUUACAUGGAGGAAAGAGUGAGAUGGCUUGACAUGAAUCUAAACAGAGCUCUGGAAGGUAUUAACAGUGAGAGAGAUCACAAGGCAACAUUCAAAGAGAUGAUAGCUGAGUAUUUCCCACCGCCCCCCAAAAAAAAAAAAAUCCAAAAAACCAAAAAAAAAAAAAAAAAA